UCGAGGAUCUUCGGCAAUGGGCGCAAGCCUGACCGAGCGACGCCGCGUGUGCGACGAAGGCCUUCGGGUUGUAAAGCACUGUCGCGGGGCUGGAAGGGGAAACCUUGACCGGCCCCGGGAGGAAGCACGGGCUAAGUUCGUGCCAGCAGCCGCGGUAAGACGAACCGUGCGAACGUUGUUCGGAAUCACUGGGCUUAAAGGGCGCGUAGGCGGGCCGCCAAGUCUGGGGUGAAAUCCCACCGCUUAACGGUGGGACUGCCUGGGAUACUGGCGGCCUCGAGGGGGGUAGGGGCGUCUGGAACACUAGGUGGAGCGGUGAAAUGCGUUGAUAUCUAGUGGAACUCCGGUGGCGAAAGCGAGGCGCUGGGCCCCUUCUGACGCUGAGGCGCGAAAGCCAGGGGAGCGAACGGGAUUAGAUACCCCCGUAGUCC
rnacentral:rRNA from 1 species